rnacentral:rRNA from 1 species
CAGACCGCCAGCUAAGGUCCCAAAGUCAUGGUUAAGUGGGAAACGAUGUGGGAAGGCACAGACAGCCAGGAUGUUGGCUUAGAAGCAGCCAUCAUUUAAAGAAAGCGUAAUAGCUCACUGGUCGAGUCGGCCUGCGCGGAAGAUGUAACGGGGCUAAACCAUGCACCGAAGCUGCGGCAGCGACACUAUGUGUUGUUGGGUAGGGGAGCGUUCUGUAAGCCUGCGAAGGUGACCUGUGAGGGUUGCUGGAGGUAUCAGAAGUGCGAAUGCUGACAUAAGUAACGAUAAAGCGGGUGAAAAGCCCGCUCGCCGGAAGACCAAGGGUUCCUGUCCAACGUUAAUCGGGGCAGGGUGAGUCGACCCCUAAGGCGAGGCCGAAAGGCGUAGUCGAUGGGAAACAGGUUAAUAUUCCUGUACUUGGUGUUACUGCGAAGGGGGGACGGAGAAGGNCUAUGUUAGCCGGGCGACGGUUGUCCCGGUUUAAGCAUGUAGGCUGAUUGUCCAGGCAAAUCCGGAUAAUCAAGGCUGAGGUGUGAUGACGAGGCACUACGGUGCUGAAGUAACAAAUGCCCUGCUUCCAGGAAAAGCCUCUAAGCAUCAGGUAACAUCAAAUCGUACCCCAAACCGACACAGGUGGUCAGGUAGAGAAUACCAAGGCGCUUGAGAGAACUCGGGUGAAGGAACUAGGCAAAAUGGUGCCGUAACUUCGGGAGAAG